rnacentral:rRNA from 1 species
CGGGACGGGUGAGUAACACGUGGAUAACCUACCUAUAAGACUGGGAUAACUUCGGGAAACCGGAGCUAAUACCGGAUAAUAUAUUGAACCGCAUGGUUCAAUAGUGAAAGACGGUUUUGCUGUCACUUAUAGAUGGAUCCGCGCCGCAUUAGCUAGUUGGUAAGGUAACGGCUUACCAAGGCAACGAUGCGUAGCCGACAUGAGAGGGUGAUCGGCCACACUGGAACUGAGACACGGUCCAG